rnacentral:SRP_RNA from 15 species
AGGCAGAGGCGAAGUGGUUCGAGAAAACACUGGCUGCUGCGAAGGCUGGCAACAAAGCAGCCAGACACCUCUCGGAAGCCUUUCGAAGAAUCACGGGCGA